rnacentral:misc_RNA from 1 species
UCUCCGUAGGUGAACCUGCGGAGGGAUCAUUACAGAGUUCAUGCCCUACCGGGUAGAUCUCCCACCCUAUGUUAUUAUUACUUUGUUGCUUUGGCGGGCCGUUAGGCUCCGGCCCGACUACCGGCCCCGGCUGGUAAGCGCCCGCCAGAGGACCCAAAACCUGAAUAUUAGUGUCGUCUGAGUACUAUAUAAUAGUUAAAACUUUCAACAACGGAUCUCUUGGUUCUG